CCCUUAGAUGUUCUGGGCCGCACGCGCGCUACACUGAACAGUUCAACAAGUCUUAACCUUGGCCGAUAGGUCUGGGUAAUCUUUGAACGCUGUUCGUGAUUGGGAUAGACCUUUGCAAUUAUGGGUCUUCAACGAGGAAUUCCUAGUAAACGCAAGUCAUCAGCUUGCAUUGAUUACGUCCCUGCCCUUUGUACACACCGCCCGUCGCACCUACCGAUUGAAUGGUCCGGUGAAAUCUCGGGACGGCGGCUUGGUCGCUUGCGUCCGACUGCUGAAACUUGAUUAAACCAUAUCAUUUAGAGGAAGGUGANGUCGUNACA
rnacentral:rRNA from 1 species